ensembl:lncRNA
GGUCAUGCAUCUAUAGGGUCAUAUAUGUUGAAGGUCAGAUAGAGUCAUAUGGGGUCAGUAUAAUAUAGGGUCGUAUGGGGUCAUAUAGGGUCAUAUAGGGUCAUAUGGGGUCACAUAUAGGGUCAGAUAUAGGGUCAUGUCAUAUAUAGGGUCAUAUAGGGUCAGAUAGAGUCAUAUGGGGUCAUAUAGGGUCGUAUAGGGUCAUAUAGGGUCAUAUAGGGUCAUAUAGGGUCAUAUGGGGUCACAUAUAGGGUCACAUAUAGGGUCAUGUCAUAUAUAGGGUCAUAUAGGGUCAUAUAGAUUCAUAUGGGGUCAUAUAGGGUCGUAUGGGGUCAUAUAGGGUCGUAUGGGGUCAUAUAGGGACACAUAGGGGGUCAUAUGGGGGUCAUAUGGGGGACAGAGAAGUCAUAGGGGUCAUAUAGGGUCAUACAGGGUCGUAUGGGGUCAUAUAGGGUCAUAUGGGGGUUAUAUAGGGUCAUAUAGGGUCAUAUGGGCUCAUAUAGGGUCAUAUGGGGUCAUAAAGGGACACAUAGGGGGUUAUAUGGGGUCAUAUAGGGUCAUAUAGGGUUGUAUGGGGUCAUAUGGGGUCAUAUAGGAGUCAUAUAGAGUCAUAUAGGGUCGUAUGGGGUCAUAUAGGGUCAUAUGGGGUCAUAUAGGGUCAUAUAGGGUCAUAUAGGGUCAGAUAUAGGGUCAGAUAUAGGGUCAGAUAUAGGGUCAGAUAUAGGGGUUGUAUGGGGUGGGGUUCUAUGGGGUUUCUAUGGGGUCUAUGGGGUCUAUGGAGCUCUAUGGGGUUUCUAUGGGGUCUAUGGGGGUCUAUGGGUCUCUAUGGGGUAUCUAUGGGGUCUAUGGGGCUCUAUGGGGUCUAUGGGGUCUAUGGGUCUCUAUGGGGUUCUAUGGGGUCUCUAUGGGGUUCUAUGGGGUCUCUAUGGGGUCUAUGGGGCUCUAUGGGGUCUAUGGGGUUUCUAUGGGGUUUCUAUGGGGUUUCUAUGGGGCUCUAUGGGGUUUCUAUGGGCUCUAUGGGGUCUAUGGGGUCUAUGGGGUUUCUAUGGGGUUUCUAUGGGGUCUAUGGGAUUUCUAUGGGGUCUAUGGGACUCUAUGGGGUGUAUAUGGGGUCUAUGGGGUUUAUGGGGCUCUAUUGGGUCUAUGGGGUUUCUAUGGGGUCUAUGGGGUCUAUGAGGCUCUAUGGGGUCUAUAGGGCUCCAUGGGGUUUCUAUGGGAUCUAUGGGGCUCUAUGGGGUGUCUAUGGGGCUCUAUGGGGUCUAUGGGGUUUCUAUGGGGUCUAUGGGGGUCUAUGGGUCUCUACGGGGUUUCUAUGGGGUCUAUGGGGUCUCUAUGGGGUUCUAUGGGGUUUCUAUGGGGUCUAUGGGGUCUUUGGGGCUCUAUGGGGUAUAUGGGGGCUCUAUGGGGAUCCAUGGGGUCUAUGGGGCUCUAUGGGGUUUCUAUGGGGUCUAUGGGGGUCUAUGGGGUCUUUAGGGCUCUAUGGGGAUCUAUGGGGUCUAUGGGGCUCUAUGGGGUUUCUAUGGGGUCUAUGGGUCUCUAUGGGGUCUAUGGGGUUUCUAUGGGGUUUCUAUGGGGCCUAUGGGGUCUAUGGGGUUCUAUGGGGCUCUAUGGGGUUUCUAUGGGGUCUGUGGGGGUCUAUGGGUCUCUAUGGGGUUUCUAUGGGGUCUAUGGGGUCUCUAUGGGGCUCUAUGGGGUUUCUAUGGGGUCUAUGGGGUCUUUGGGGCUCUAUGGGGUCUAUGGGGGCUCUAUGGGGAUCUAUGGGGUCGUAUGGGUGUCCGCUUCGAGGGGUGUGUCUCUGGGUUUGCGUAUGGGGUCCUCACUCGCGCGCGCGCUCAUAUAGAAGGUGUCUAUGGGGGUUUCUAUGGCACACUUAUGGGGUCUCAUGGGGUCUAAUAGAUGGUGGAUAAUAUGGGGUGCUAUGGGGCUCUAUGGGGUGUGUUUUACGUGGGCACUCUAUAGGGUGACGGUCACUGUGCGGCGAAGUGCUCGGUUUGUUGGUUUUAUGGGUCACGUUAUGCGGUUGUUUCUGUAUGGGG